UUUCUUCGCUCGCCGCCUCGCUCAGAGCCGGGGCCGGGCCAGAGCGGCGCCCCGCUGCCCUGUCCCCGCGUGCAGACCCCGGGCCCGGCCCCGGCCCCCCGCCAAGCCAUGCUGUGCGGCCGCUGGAGGCGUUGCCGCCGCCCGCCCGAGGAGCCCCCGGUGGCCGCCCAGGUCGCAGCCCAAGUCGCGGCGCCGGUCGCUCUCCCGUCCCCGCCGACUCCCUCCGAUGGCGGCACCAAGAGGCCCGGGCUGCGGGCGCUGAAGAAGAUGGAGUUGGGGUCUCACUGUGUUGUCCAGGCUGGUCUUGAACUCCUGGGCUAAAAGAAUCCUCCUGCCUUGGAUUCCCAAAGUGCUGGGAUUACAGGUGCCUGACGGAGGACGAGGACGUGCGCGCCAUGCUGCGGGGCUCCCGGCUCCGCAAGAUCCGCUCGCGCACGUGGCACAAGGAGCGGCUGUACCGGCUGCAGGAGGACGGCCUGAGCGUGUGGUUCCAGCGGCGCAUC
rnacentral:lncRNA from 1 species